UACAGAGGUGGCAAGCGUUGUUCGGAAUUACUGGGCGUAAAGGGCGCGUAGGCGGCCAUCUAAGUCAGACGUGAAAUCCCCCGGCUUAACCUGGGAACUGCGUCUGAUACUGGACGGCUUGAGUUUGGGAGAGGGAUGCAGAAUUCCAGGUGUAGCGGUGAAAUGCGUAGAUAUCUGGAGGAAUACCGGUGGCGAAGGCGGCAUCCUGGACCAACACUGACGCUGAGGCGCGAAAGCUAGGGGAGCAAACGGG
rnacentral:rRNA from 1 species